UGGAGCAUUUUCAGGCUGAAAAUGUUCUUUAUGAUGUUCUUAAAUUUUAGUCUGUAUAAAAAUAUGAUGCCCAAUAACUUAUUUAGGCAGAGAAAUACACAAAUGAUCAAUAGCAAUGGUUGAAGUUUUAUCACAUAACAAAAAAUUAGAUUCUCUAAGUGACUCAUAUCAGUGAUUUAAAGAACUAAUGAAUAAAUAAGUUAUAAUAUAAGUAAUUAGUAAUUACUGGAAGCUUUUACUGUCGAACGUGCCCUGGAAGCUCUGGUUAGCUUGCCAAGUGUUUAGGAAUCUAGUUAUGUUGUUUAUCGUUCUUUUAUCGCCUUUUAAUGUAUGUAAAAACUUCUUCCUCUUAAUGUUAUACUAACGAUUAAUGAAAUAAAAAUUGCCCCUUUAUUUAAUAGUAACGCAUAAUGUAAUAACAAAUCAAGGUUUAAUGUUAUAAAACAGGUAAGGCUUAAUGUUAAUGACGGGCUUAACGGAAAAUUCCGACAUGUAUUAAAAUGUGAACGGAAACGAGUUCACAUAACUGCAGUUCAACAAUUUUUUUUUUAAAUUUUGUACGUGAAGAGUUUUAUGCUCAAAACUUUAGAUUUUUUUCCGCUUUCGCGAAUCUUUUUUUUUUUUUGCUUCUUGUGAUAUUGAACUGUUGAAAUGUCAUUUUACGCUCGAUGUAUCAUAGGGUUAUUCCGGGUCAGUACGCAAUUCUUACAAGCUGCAACUUGAUUGGGCAAAUGAACAAUAUCCGCACCUCGACACAAAGAAGGAAAAGAGUAGAGACAAAAAAACCCCUUUGUAGAACAAAGAUAAUAAGAGACAAAGCAAUUGCGUACUCACUCGUUAUUCCUGAAGGCAGUUUGACACAGGGGUUCGUGAGGAUGGCGCUUAUGAUUUUAAACACGGCGCAACUUUCGACUUUUAUCAGAGUCUUUGCUGAACUGCGUUUGCUGAAGACGCCUGCAAAUUCCUGCGAACGUUAAACGUAAGAGCUGAUUGAAGAUCAAGCUGAAAAUGACCCAGAGCUAGAGACAGAGGCUGCUGAAGACGAAGGAGGAAGAGCCAGAGAAUGCAAGGCUUGCCGGAAAAGAUGAUGACAACGAUGAUGAAGAUAGUGAGGUUGCAGAUGUUCAGGGCGGACAG